rnacentral:tRNA from 1 species
AGGGAUAUAGCUCAGUGGUAGAGCACUUGCGUAGCACGUACAAGGCUCAUCCUGGGUUCAAUCCCUAGUACCACUA